GUUUCUUUCCGUUGGAUCAGAGGGAGUCUGUGGCUCUACUUUGUCACUGUUCAGUUGUUCAAUUCUGCAGUGAAGGAACCUGCUCCCCUGGAGCAUCUAACCACGGAGUACUGAAGACCUUCAAUUCACUCCCAGCUCUGGGGUGUGCACCAUCUGGAACCGUAUCUUCAAGUCAGCAGCUCUGUCUGCCUGCUGUCUUGAGUCGUCCAUGUGGCCCCAUCCCAAUGAGUGGGCCAUGCAAGCUGCAUGUUGAAAUGCUGCCCUGCAAUGCUGGCACCACCUCCCAUUCAUUCAUGCAGCAUGCCUCAGCCAGCCAGAACCAGGACAUUUGGGGUUCAUACUCUUGGUUAUCUUGGGAGUUGAUGCUGGCUGUUGGCUGGUACUAGGAGAGGAAGCAGAACCUCCUCCAUCUUGAUGGGCACAUAAGAUGACAGUAAUUGCACCACUUUUGAGCUAUUGAAAGGAAAAAGAGAGUCAUUUCUGAAGAGGCUCAGUGCUUAUCAGAAUGUUCAUCAGGAUCAAGGGGUUCGAGAUUCCUGAGUACACGGACCUCACU